rnacentral:rRNA from 1 species
AAGACAAUUUACAAGGUGCUGCAUGGUUGUCGUCAGCUCGUGCCGUGAGGUGUCAGGUUAAGUCCUAUAACGAGCGCAACCCCUGUUGUUAGUUGCCAGCGAGUCAUGUCGGGAACUCUAACAAGACUGCCAGUGUAAACUGUGAGGAAGGUGGGGAUGACGUCAAAUCAUCACUGGCCCUUACGCCUUGGGCUACACACGUGCUACAAUGGACGGUACAGAGAGCAGCCACUAUGCAAAUAGGAGCGAAUCUAUAAAACCGUUCUCAGUUCGGAUCGGAGUUUGCCACUCGACUCCGUGAAGCUGGAAUC